GAGUUUUCUCGUAUUCCUAGAGGAUACUAUGAAUUACCCAGCGAGACGAUAAUUACUGAACCUGCCACCAAAGUGGAGUGGUCAGAAUUGCAAGGCGCUCUGUGUGUACAUGCUUAUGGUAGAAAUUCCGAAUUGUAUCACAUCAAGCCUAGGUGUGUACCACCGGAAGGAUUGGUCCUCCUCUUAAAUCAAGAGGAUGUAGAUGAAAUGGUGAGAGCCCAUCAAGAUACAAAAAAGUGUGAUUUGUACAUUGUGGCAAAUCAUCAUUUUCGAGGUGAUGGUUACGAUGAGAGUGACGAGGAUGGUGAUGAUGGGUCGAAUGAUGAAGCCCCUUUUGGUGCCUGCCUCGAUGUUGGUCAGAGUGGAAAGGACGAAGAUAGAUCAUCGCCAUGAACGAAUAUUAUGUGUGCUUUUCAUUUAAAAUGAUGAAGCUCCUUUUGGGUCGAAUUAUAGUGUGCUUACCAUGAACGAAUACCGGUUGUCGUUGA